UUAGGUCACCCUAUGGGUGCCGGUCAGCAGCUCAGCGACUCCCUUCCGCGGGAGCUCCAUCCUGGCCAGCCCGGUUGGCUGCUUCUGCACCCUUUCCUCCUCCAACCACAGCAAACUCGACUGUCUCGCCAUCCCCUUCACUGCGCAGGCAUUUCCGUGGAUUUGUCUUCCUGGUGGCCGUCUGAUGUACAAAUACAUCCAUUCCGAUUCAUAAAUCCAUAUCCAUUUCUGACAUCGAACCACUUCACAGUGCCAAGGACGUUGGUGGCGAGAACUUUCUCGGGAGUCUUCACUGCCGGCGGGGGCGGCGUCCCUGCCCAGGUUCCCGGACUCCAGGGCCGGGGCUGCGCCGCCGACCGCCGGGCUCUGGGGCGCGGGAAUCUAUCUUUUUAGCUUUUGCUACUUGAGGAUUUUCUCGUUGCCACUUCCUGGCAUAGCAGAAAAUAAAGCAGGUGGUACCUACCAGAGAACAGAAAGACUAAGGGAGGCCUGGGGAAGAAAGCUCCUCACAACCACAGGGGGAAGCAGCAUUUGAAAGAGACCACCUGGUUCCAGAGCACAGUUAUAUGUUGGAAAGACUGGAUCGUCAAUUCUUGGCCAAGAAGAAGAAGUGUUAAUGAGAUUGGAAGAAGAUACUAUAAUUUGGAUGCAUGACUGCUAAACUGAUCAUCAUUAAUGAGAAGUAUCAAAGUACAGGUUAAAAGAAAAGGGCUUUAUCCAAGUGACCUUUGAGGAAAUUCAAAUGCUGCCUUUGGAUGGAGAAAUCCUUAUUAUUUCUGCAGUUUCUGCUUUUUCUGCUGCAGAGAGCUUCUCAGACUCUCUCUUGGGUGCCUCCUGUGAACUCUACAGAUGUCCCCUGGGUCAGAUAUCUGCAUGUUGCUGGGUUGCUUUGCUUUGUGGCAUCUCUAAUGUCUGUUUUGAAAAGGUUGAAAAGGAGAAGAAUCACAAACACCCUAGAAGUUGAAAACAUCAUCUGUUUUCUAAACUGUAUAUAGCUGAGCUUUCCCUGACCUCUAGGUGAAGCAAUGUCUCUGACUUUUGUAGGUGGUGAUUUCCAGCUCUCUGAAUACACUGGGCUGGUGUGUAACCCAGACUCCUUUCCCUAUGUGAGCAUUGGGAUCAGUCUCUAGCUGUGAAAAGUUGAAUCUGGUUCAGUAUUUCUGUGAGCUCUUGUGAUUUUAUAGCUUCUACUCAUGGUUGCCCUUUAAAUCCUCUCUUAGUUUAUAGCCCUGACAUCUCCCUUCUAUUCUGACUUUGACUAUAGCUAUUUAAAUUGUAUGGUGAGAGAAUAAAUCAUCUCCCAGCUAGCUGAGGCCUGGUAGCCUGAUAGGGCUUGUCACUGAUAUAUCAGUGAUUUAGAAAGAGGAGUCCCAAGAAUUUGAAUUUGGUGGGACAUUUAUUACAUAUCAUCCACAUACUUCUUUCAAUUAAGUUUUAUUGCCUUUUCUAUAAGAGAGAAAAUGUGCUAGGCAAUCAUUGGUGGCUCAUACUUAUAAUCCUAACUACUCAGGAAGCUGAGAUCUGAGGACUGUGAUUCAAAAACAGGCAGUCAAAGAAAACUUCAAGAGAUUCUUACCUCCAAUUAGCCAAACAAAACAAAACAAAACAAAAAACAGAAUUAGGAAUAUGGCUCAAGUAGUAAAGCUCCAGCCUUGAGUAAAAAAGCCAAAUGAUACUAUCUAUAUGAAGUAGAAGCUCUUGUACCACAACAAAGGAAGGAGGGAGGAAGAAAGGGGGAGAGGGGCGAGAGAGACAGAGACAGAGAGACAGAAAGAGAAAGAGAGACAGAGAAAUCAAACCUCUUUUAUCUCACUUUUUGGAAUUUAAGUAUGGAAAAUCUAAGUCCAUUACAGAGGAGAUCUUCUUUUCUUGUAAAUUUUUCCCUAAGUCAUUUUUAAGGACUCUGGACCCUGGGUUAAUUAAUCAAUAACUUUUUAGAAUUUUGAUAUUUCGAGCUCUGACUUAGCCAAGUAAGAUUACAUAACAUAGCUUUAAAACUUAAUUUUUAAUGUAAUUUUUAAAUGCUCAGGAAUUUAGGGCCUACAUUCUACAUGUAGAGAAAUAGAGCCACAGUAGAGAAAUAGAGCCAACGUAGAUUCAUGUAGAAAAAAAAUAAUCCUGCUCUUUUUCAUCUCAACCAUUAGGCUUCUUUCCUUUUUUUUCUUUGAGUCUUUUUUAAUUUGCUUUUUUGUGCAGGGUCUCACCCAAGCUGGCCUGAAAUUGUCCUAUAGCUCAGAUAGUCCUCAAACUUGCAAUCUUCCUGCCUUCGUCUCCCAAAUGCUGAGUAUAUAUUGACUAUUUCCUUGACUUAGAUUUCUUUUUGGAUCAGAGUGAUCUUUUACGUGCUUUACUUCAGUUUGAGAGUCUUCAGAGAGGAUAGAAUGCCCACUUAUACUUUUGAUUUAACAGAUAUGCUAACAAUGGUCUUCAUCAAAUUGUGAAUAGUUGCCAUUACUAGUAAGCCACUUGACAGCUCAGCGGGAUACUGAAUCUGAUUUGGAAAAAAAACAUUUCAGGAGACUCUAGUACAGGAUCCUACUGUGAUCAUAAGAAGCCUAUUCUGCAUAGUCUAAAGGGCCAGGACAGGCCCUGGAGGAGGAUAUACCUCUCAUGUGAACGUCACAAAGUCCAGCAGAGAUCAGGUGACUCUGGGGCAGCUGUUAAGCAAUCACAUUGAAUAUGCUAAAUCUUGAGACAUAAGACCCUUGAUUAAAUGGUAGGGACUUGUCAAAAGAUAAAGAUACUAAAAUUAGAAUGUAAAAUACAGGUAAAUUAAAAAGUUGGAGGCAGCCAACUCUUUCAAGGCUAUAUGAAGAAUAAAUAACAAUUUUUCCCUUUUUUUCUUUCUUAUUUUAUGUUUUUUAAGACAAGAUUUCACUAUGUAGCCCAAGUUGGCCUGGAAAUUAUGAUCCUUCUGUUUUUAUCUCUCAAGCUCUAGGAUUACAGGCAUGUGCUACCAUGCCCAGCUACUAUAUAUAUUUCAAUAAAAUGGAAAGAGGAGUAUAACCUGAAAACUGGGAGUAGGAAAAAGAUGCAUUUAAUAAAAAUGAUCUAUAAAACCUGGAACAAACAUUCCACUCAAGAAACUUUCCUAUUAGCAUCAAAUAUGUAAGAGAAGUGCUUGCUAUAUAUAUUCACCAUUAUACUGGAAGGCCUAGCCAGAAUAAUCAUACAAGAAGCAGUUGUGAAAUGAUUAGAAAGAAGAAAUAAAACUACAGCUAUCAAUAAAUGAUGUGGAAAUCAAAAAUUCUAAUAAAUUAUUAUAAUAAGAGAUCAAGAAAGCUUAACAGGUUAAAUCACUUUUUAAAUGAUCAGCCUCAAACAUUAAAUGUCACAAAAAGAUACAAAAUUCACAGUAGCACAUAAAAAUGGAGAAAAUAUGGAAAAUACUUUAUGUAGAAAAUUAUAAAACUUUAUAUUGCAAGGUAUUGUGCAGAACUAAAUAAAUUAUUUUUAUGAACAAAAACAUA